UAGUUUACACAGAUGUAAAUACAGCUCUUUCUUGAUCACAGGCUGUCUAUCAGAAGAAUGGGAACUUGUUUUUCCUUACAACAAUCCAGAAAGCAAUGACAUCUGAACAAAAACAAAUUGAUUUGGCUAAAGCAAGCCUAGGAAAGCUGAAUUCUUCUUGAUAUGACUUGGCUUACGAUGAUGGUAGUCCUACAGCCUUUUAAGGAUCUCAGUGAAUGAACCGCUUAUUGUUGCAGAUUCCUGUUGGUUGGGCGGUCGUGGGGAUUCUUGUCUCACCCAUUUUCUUAUUUCUAAAAUGGGCUUCUACCGUGGACAUAAUUUUGUGAACAAUACAUGUAGAGACUUUUAGACUGAAGCAUUAUGUUUCAGAAUUUUGUACAAAUACCUUUUGAAGUAUAGGGGUUAUGAGGUUAUUAAUAUACGUCUCUCCCUCC